rnacentral:lncRNA from 1 species
GGAAGCACACUGCGGCGAUUCUGGAGAGGUUGUCCUUUUCUGGCAUCAGCGUUGCGGCUCGAGGCAAAGCUGGUCCUGUGCCUGCUGUCCAUUGCCGCUAAGGCCUGCUGCUGCCAUUCAGGCGUGUCUCUCUCUCUCUCUCUCUUUCAUGCCGCUCUCUCCACCCCAUCUUGGGACGGCCAGCUCUAAGAAUUCCUGCUACGACACUGAAUUCAACCAGGAGGUGAUGCCACACUCAAUCAGAAACUAUGCUACUGCUGAAGAGGUAUAUUGAGCCCUGCCUGGUUAACCUCCAGUGAGGUUAUUAGAGAAUUGGGAGAGGCUCAAAUCAGCAUCCUGCACCUAGUUAUCAAACCAUUGUGAAGUCUUGAUUCCUGGAUGGCCAGAAAACUUGUCAUUGGUCAAGAGCAACAUUAAGAUCUGCCUGUUACUCAUACUGAUGCUUCCUGCCCAGCAAGUUCAUCAGAGGGCGAGGAUGAAUUACGGUUGCCAUGAAUGUCCUUGUGAGGCAGUUGGGAAGCCUUGGCUGGAUUGUGAAGGAUAUUUGAAAAGUAUUUUAGAGUCCACCAGAUCAUCCAUGUGAGUGACCAUGCAGCAAAAGAAGGAGGGUCCUCUCAGUGAUUAAGGAUUAUGAAGUAUUAAUUCUUCCACUGAUAUCUCAAAAGGUGAUCUGGACAAAGGAACAGGUAUCUCAGCUAGACAGAAGGUACUGGAUAAAAAGAACCCUGAAGCAUGGGAUGAUUUUUUCCCAAUAUUCACUGUGAGAAUCUGUCAGAUAAUCAGCAACUGCUGUGAUGAGAUGCUGCCUUUAAUGCUGCUGCAUGUGGUCAAACCUCCACUCCCAGUCUACCCAGACCAGGACUUGGCUUCCAGGAUCCAGGGGUGUCUGUGUGAAAUGAUCAGCCUGGGCCCCCAAGCAGGUCACUCCCAGCACAGAGAUGUCAUUGAUUGUACCACCGUCAUCAGGCUGUCUUCCGCCCUCAGGGAAAAGUAGCAUGUCUUCCAGCACCAUAUGACAACUGCUCAGCACUUAUUUCUUGUCAUUGCUCCCUUCUGACUGCAGCUCCGUGGGAUCACAGGAGAUUAUGGUGGUGGUGGACUCCCAGGCAUUGCUAUUCUCCUGACACCAGAACACCAUCAUGGUCAUCUCUGAGGCAUCAGUAGUGUUUCUAUAUGCCAACAGUGAACAAUCUGAAAAAGAUAUUAAAAAGUAAUCUCAUUUACAAUAGCCACACAUAAAAUUAAA